CUGCGGUGGUACUUGCUGAUACGGUGGGGGCACUGGAUUGUACUGUGGUGGUGUCGGGUGGUACUAUGGUUGGGGCACCAUAUCAUACUGGGGUGGUGCCGGGUGGUACUGUGGCUGGGGCACUGGAUCAUACUGGGGUGGUAUCGGGUGGUACUGUAGAGGAGCAGGGUCGUACCGGGGUGGCUCGGGAUCCUCUCACUGCAGGGGUGGCUCAACCUGUGACAGCGGGAGAAGGUUAGGUAGCUUUCUCCUUUCAUCUCGGCUCUGCUAGGCAGUAAUAAGUCUCUCCAGUAUCUCAAAUAUCCAGUCAAUAUCUUUCAUAAGCGAACCAUCCAGGGCUACUCGGUUUAGUGGGGGUUUUCCUCUCCUCAUCUCUCUGUACUUGCAUUUCACAAAGAAUGGUUGAGUAAUAAUUCAUUAUUUUAGUGUUCCCUAAGGAGUAUUGUGUAAGGAAUGGGUCCGAGAAACACGACUCUGAUACCAACUGUAUCGACUCUGGAAAUACCCAAAGGAAAUAGAUAAUAACUUAAGUGCGGAAGGAAAUAAAAGGGUUAAGGUUUACAUUCCUUAUACAAUAACUUAAAAGUACUAAACAACAUUACAGAAUUCACUCUU
rnacentral:lncRNA from 1 species